rnacentral:lncRNA from 1 species
AAUGAAUGAAUGAACCAUUAUUUGAAGCAGUGACUUGUCAGUCGAGGUGGGAGGGUCCCUUAUUCCAGGAACCCUCUGGCUUGGAUCGCCCUCCGGGCCCGGGCGACGAGUUCGCGCUGGUCGACCAGGUCCGGCUUGGAGAUCGCAGCCUCCCACGUUUCAGCGAGGAGGUUUG